rnacentral:rRNA from 1 species
ACGACGUUGAUAGGUCGGGUGUGUAAGUGUAGCGAUACAUUGAGCUAACCGAUACUAAUGAACCGUGAGGCUUAACCUU